UCGGUUGCACACUGUCUCAAAAUAAUCGAUUGUUAAAAGUAGACAAUCGAUUGUUUGCUAUUUUGAAAAACUUCAGAUCACACUGUCUUAAUACAAUAGAUUGUAGGAUUCAAAUAAUCGAUUGUUGAGGUCCAGAUUUAAAAGACAUUUUAAAACCUUCAACAUCAUUUUGUUUUAACAAAAAGAUGCAUGUUUAUGAUAA
rnacentral:lncRNA from 1 species